UAGGUGGGGAGAACAUCCCAUGAAGAAAGCAAAGCAAAGUAUGUGAUAAGGUUCAAUAAUGAGAGUGUGUCUUACUCUGGGCACAGACAUUUAAUGUGCUUGAAGGGAAAGGUUUGUGUUGGGGGAAAAGAUGAAAACAAGGAGGCUGCGAAAGCCAUUUGUGACUUCCUGGUGAAGAAUCUCACCAAGGACCAUUGACUAGAUUCUGGAGACAGAGUGAAGGUACUCUGAUGUUUGAAGAUUGAGCCAAAUGCCAGGUCCUUCCUACUGACAGACUUCAGGACUGUGGGAAUAACUCUGGCUUCACCUCAUGGCUUCCAAAAGCAACACUAAAACAAACAACUAUUAUUGAGAAUUCUUGUGCUCAAAAGUAUUUAUUGAAUACAUCAUUGAAGUGAAAAAGAAGACAUGGAGAAUUCAGAGAACCACAACUACUCAUGCCCAGACUUCAGAAAAUAAUGACACUCAAAUAUAGGAGAGACUCUGAAAUUGUCCCAAUAAAGAUUUUUAAAAAAUGGGAGAAGACAUAGGUUAAAAAGUUAGG